rnacentral:lncRNA from 1 species
UGAUCUUCAAACCAUGUUUUUUAAUAAGGACUUGGAACAAAUGUGUGCUCUUCCAAGUACAUCAGGGUCCAUCUGUGAACACUUUCAUGGUCCCAUGAUGAAGGUAUGUGGGAUGCAGUCUGGGACAAUCCCAGAAGUAUUUCCUUUGCCAAACAUCUGGGACUUGGCUAUAAUUUGUUUCUUUCCUUGGUUGCCUUUGGCAAGAACUGAUGGCUCAGUGAGUCAGCAUUUCCAUAUAAACAAAGGCCCAAAGAUGGGCAGGCUGCUAGUUCCAGGUCACAGGAUAGAGGAUGGGGCAGGCUGCUAGUUACUGGUCACAGGACAGAGGAUGGGGCAGGCUGCUAGUUCCGGGCCACAGGAUAGAGGUGGGCAUCUGGAGAAGGUGACCCUUUGGACAGAAGAUACAAUGGAGUCAGUAGGUUCUUCAGUAUGCCAUUGCCCUCCAGCCUUUGCUGCUCUUCAUUCUGAGAUGAUCUUGCUUCAGACCUUUCCUCAAGGUGGCAGGGAACCU